rnacentral:rRNA from 1 species
GACGAACGCUGGCGGCGUGCUUAACACAUGCAAGUCGAACGGAAAGGCCCUGCUUUUGUGGGGUGCUCGAGUGGCGAACGGGUGAGUAACACGUGAGUAACCUGCCCUUGACUUUGGGAUAACUUCAGGAAACUGGGGCUAAUACCGGAUAGGAGCUCCUGCUGCAUGGUGGGGGUUGGAAAGUUUCGGCGGUUGGGGAUGGACUCGCGGCUUAUCAGCUUGUUGGUGGGGUAGUGGCUUACCAAGGCUUUGACGGGUAGCCGGCCUGAGAGGGUGACCGGCCACAUUGGGACUGAGAUACGGCCCAGACUCCUACGGGACGCAGCAGUGGGGAAUAUGGCACAAUGGGCGGAAGCCUGAUGCAGCAACGCCGCGUGCGGGAUGACGGCCUUCGGGUGGUAAACCGCUUUCGCCGGUGACGAAGCGUGAGUGACGGUAAUGGGUAAAGAAGCACCGGCUAACUACGUG